AAUUAGUCGCAGUUUUGAACCGUGGAUGAUUUAAAUAAAAAAAAACCUGGACAAGUAAUCACAAGGGACGAAAGGUUUAUGGGCGUCAUUUCAAGUAAGUUAGUCACUUUCUUAUGAGUUUUUAAUUGUACUUAGACAAGUAAAUCACUCUACUCAUUAUAAUCAUUUUUUUGUAAGCAGAUUAUAUUUCUACGUAAAAAAAUAGGGCAAGUCGGCCAACAUCGUUUUAUUGCGUCAUAGACGAUUUAGACGAUCUGACGAACAACUUACUAUCAAUUAGUCGUAUGAGUCGCUUUAUCGAUGUUAGAGAUGGCAAUGGGUAAAUACCCAACGGGUAUUACUACCCCAUACUCAUACCACGACAAAAAAAUAACCUCACCAUGUCACCCAUAUACACUGGUGGGUAUGGAUUUACCCCCAUACCCAUACCCACGUGGGUAUGGGUCACCCAUCGGGUUACCCGUACCCACAAAAAUUAAACAUCUAUCAAAAUAUUAUAUUAUACAAAUAUAAAGUAUAUCCAUCUAAAUACCAUUACAAAAUUUCUAGCAUCAUUUAACCAUCCAUUCAACACACAUAAGGUGAAUUACAUGUUCUAUUACAUGGUCAUUAAAUUGUCGUUAAGCCUUCUAUGACAUAAUGGCUUAAAAGGUUAUUAAAUAGUAAAAAAGAUGGAUGACUAAAGUCUAAGUUCAUGUUUAAGCUAAGUUUAUAUUGGAUAUAUUUAUACCCACGGGUUAACGGGUAUGGGUGAAGGUGGAACAUUCUAAUACUCGUUUACCCAUUGAGUGAAGAUUUUUGCCCAAUAACAGACUCACGGAUAGAAUAUUUAGCCCACAUACAUACUCUAAUGGAGUAAAUACCCAUCAGGUAUCGGGUCGUGGGUACCCAUUACCAUCUCUAAUCGAUGUUGUGACCACUUAAACCGACUCAACGACUUAAAAACAUUAUUGUGUAGUGGUGUGUCCACAACACAACCGCCCCUCCACACCCAGUCCCGGUCUAGUGUCACAACCUGUGGCCAGCUAGCCGACGGUGAGAUCAAGCGCCACAUGAGUAACACCAAACAAGAAUAGGUUGGAGAAGGGGGUCUCGAAAACACGAGGACGAAGAAGCCUUCCAUUCCAGCCUGUAUAUAUCUGUGGAGUUCAAUAAAAUUGGAUUUUUAUAAUUUAUAUUUUUUGAUAUUUAAUAUAGCUUUUUAAAGGUUCAAUCGACAUGGAUAUAAAAGAAGAGAAAAUUCCCUCAGUGCCAUCAUAACCUAUACCAAUUCUCUAUAUGCCAUCAAAAGUUAUAAGUUUCCUUCGAUGCCAUUAGUUUAGAUUCUAAAUCCCUUCAAAGCUAUCACCGUCACUGAUGCCAUCUACUACCGUUACUGGUUCAUUUGGACCCACUCGUCAUACUAUAACCUCGUUCCUAUACCUCUCUUUAUUUAUCUCCAUGACUCGUGUACAGGAGGAAAAAAGGUGCGGCUUAUACCUCUCUUUAUUUAUCUCCAUGACUCGUGUACAGGAGGAAAAAAGG
rnacentral:lncRNA from 1 species